rnacentral:lncRNA from 1 species
ACUGUUGAAAACAGAACCAACCCGUAGGACAAUACCAAUAGCAGCAAAGAAUAGGUCCAGAUCAGGAAAGGAAGGGUGGACAGAGCCAGAAUAGCUCUCAGAGCUGCCAUCUUUUUAAAUGCUACAGCAAGACAACAAAGGGAACCUUUGCAAAGUUGGAAAAUCUACCCUAAACCACACCUCUUUGUAAAAAAGGUGAGGAAAUCUAAGUUCGUGUAAAAAUUACCUAGGGGAAAGAACCAAACUCAAACAUUAUACAAAGUCGUAAGAAAAAAAGUGAGAAACAAAUAGGUCCACAGAAAAUGAAUACAUAUCAAAAACUAUAAACUAUUACUGCAAAACAAGUUAAAUGACAAAAAGAACAAGCUGUGGAAGAAUAUAAUCCGGAACUAUGCGAAGUCAGAAUUCAUCUGAUGGAACUCAGAAAAAUAGUAGAACAAAUUCUAAAAUAAAGACUUGGCUGAAGGAAACACAAGAAUGUGACCACACCGAAGACAGGAGGUGGUUUCUGUUAUUGCUGAGACAAGGUCUCAGCCAGGCCUCGAACCCUCCUUAGCCCAGGCUGGCCUCGAGCUCCGUUCCCCUCCCUCAGCCUCCAGAGGGCUGGGUCACAGGCUGAGCCCUGGCCCGUGGCGUUACAGCAGAGCCUGCGGCGGUUGGCGGUUACCGAUGUCCGCGAGCGGGCGCCCAGCUGGACUCCGGCCGGCCCGGGCCUGGAGGAGCCACGAAGGAGUUGGUUUCCCUCGGAGGAGGAGCCGCUCGGCCUCACGCCGCUCGGCCUCACCUCCCUGGGUGCUGGCUCCCGGCCUUCCUCGAGGACCCUUCCCUCCCGGUGCGACUCCUAGGGUCGGCGCCUGGGCUCCAGGCCUCUGCCCGGUCCUCUGCAUCUCCAGUGCGGAUGGCCUUCGUGCCCCCUUCUACCUCCAACUCUGGGCGGCCCGGCCCCUGUGGGCUAAUAUCGUGAAUUUCCGCCCUGCGUUGGAUCUGACUCCCAGCGUGCAGUCUUUGGAGGACCUUGCCCGGGACCUGCGAGCUCUUGUCAGUAAAACGUGAGCCACCCUCUGAAGGAAGAAAGGGGUUUACAGAAAUGACAAGGCCCAGGAAAAGCAUUUCAGGCACAAGGAACAUGAGCAGACAGGAGAAGACUUCCAACUUGUCAUAAACUCAGCUGACUAUGACUACACCAUCUGCUGUGAGAAGAUGUUGAAAGCAGCACUAAGUGAAAGCAUCUAGGUACCUUAAAUCCUGUUACAGUAGUUGGCUCUGAAUGAACUCCAGGCUUUCUUCAGAAAAACACUUUUAUGGAAGACCAAUUACCAUCCUGAAGAAAUGACAGGCAGAAAGGAGACGCCUGCAGGCAGACCUAUGUGACCUUGGUAAGCUAAUUAAGCUCUUGAACCCUACUUUCUGAUUCUUUAAAAUGCAGAGAGCCUGCCUCUCACGGGCUGCUGUGAGGGUUAAAUGUGGUAAACGAGUGUCGAGUCACACAGUAGGAGUUCAAUGUUCUCUCUUCAACACCACAAAAUUAUCUAAAAUCUACUUUCUCUCACCAAAUAUUUCCAGGAAACAGACAUUACUUACUUACAGAGAACUGAAGAGUUCUUUAAGACUGAAUAAUUAAGGCUAAUAAACGCCAAUAGUACAUGCCUAAAGUGUAACAGGAAUUAAAAAUAUUAUAAGGUUCUUCAACACUCAAAUCUGAAGACAAAUAGAUUCAAUUACAUACUGUAUACUAGAAGUCAAAGGACUAAUAAAUUUUUCUGACUUACAUGUUUACAGGUAAAACUAAGAGUAUAAACUAAAUGGCUCUUUAACAACCAUAGCAACCUUCAGUGGCUUAUUACUCUCAUUUCCAGCUAUUGGGAAUCUAUUUUCGUGAUGUGUAUUUUUAUCCUGAGACCAAAAAAACCCCCAACUACUAUCUUAUUCCUACUAAAAGUUUUAGACUACCAUGGUAACCAAAUUUUUCUAGAAAUAUGCACAGCUAUUCUAACAGAAAUACUUCAGUUUUUAUAAUCUUCCCUGUUCAGAUUAUUUAUAGAAAAGCAAAACAUAACCACCCUAAAAUCCCCACCAGUUUACAAGUUAUGCAAUGGUUAAGAAAUCUGCCAGAGCAAAAGUUAAAUAAAUGAUGCCUAUGAAGCCAGAAUUUAUUAAGAUAUUUUAAAUGGGGGAAUUCUGACUUAACUCUUUGAAAAGGAAAUCUUAAAAAAAUAUAUUAUCACCAUUACUACCAUUUCUCAGGGUCCUCAAGCCAGUUUGCUCAUGAGAAUUAACAUAUUAUACAGGUUGAUUUAAAAAAAAAAAAAUACAACCGGACCAGGGAUUUAGCUCAGUGGUUCCACUGCCUGCCUCGCAAGCACAAGGACCCGAGUUCGAUCCCCAGUACCAAAAAAACCCCCCCAAAACCAAAAAACAACCAGUUUGGUACUCACUCAGCAUUAACUGGUUCCAGGGAGCAGGACAAGGACCCAAAACAAUGAACACCAAACAGUGAGUUGGCGGGAAAGGGCUGCUAGCCAUGAUGACACACAGCAAGUUCCAGCAUGCACCUCCAGUACCAAACAAAUGAUGGGUACCAGGACAAAAUUUUUAUGUCAAAAUGCAGAGUACCACAUCUGACAAGGAGUCGAGUGCCAAAGUGUGACUAUAUAACAUUAAAUUGCCCAGGAACAGCAUGCCAGUCUCACUAAACCCAAAUACAGAUCAACUUUUACAACCUAACACUCUAUCGACAUAUGUAAUUUUCAAUUAUUUUUUAGUUCACUUAUUUUUCUAUGUGACUUACAGUUAAGGAAAUAAGAGAAAUUUUAAAAUCUUUUAUCUAGACAAAAUUAAAACGGUUACAAAUUACGCCAAACUAGAAAAUGGAUAGUAUAUAAUAGAUAUAAAGUAAGUACAAGGCUCACGUUUCAUUCAACUUUCUGAAAGCUAUGUUAACUCCCUAACUAUUCGUCCUUUUUAAUUCUAAAAUUAGAUCUUAAGAAUCACACAAGCUAAAAGUAUUCUGAGUUCCUUCCCCUUAGAAAAAUGCACAGGCAGGAUAUGAGAGUAAGAGGGACAGAUGUCACACCGUAGUACGGGGUGAGGUGUUUAGUGCUUUAUCUUAGUUUUAGUUUAUCCUUCAACUUCACGGUAUUCUUAGUUUUUUCUCAUUUGCAUUUCAGUUUCAUCUUUUGUAAGUUUUAGUUGAGGAAUACUCGUAAUGCAGAGAUCUCACGUGAUGAAUCUUCACAAGCCCCGUACCUGAGUAGCCCACACUGAGUCACGACAGCAAACACUGCCACGGGACCAGCAGGCCGCUGGACCCUCGCUCUCCACCCACGGGCAGGCACUGCCCUGUUUUCCAUCGUUACAUGUGAAUUCUACCUGUCCUAAAACUCAUGAAUGAAAUCGCGUGUACCUUUCUGUCUACCUCCCUUUGUCAGCAUGGUUUUGAUACUCAUUCAUACUGAUGUAUGACUAUACAGUCUACUGAUUCUUAUUACUGAAAAAUAUCCUACUACAUGAAUAUGCCAGGUUUUUAUCCAUCUUCCUAUUAAUGGACAUCUGAGUUGUUUCCAAUCUGGGGCUAUCAUGAGCAAAGCCUUAUGAUCAGUCCUGUAUAAAUCUUUUGUGUGGACAUGUGUUUUAUUUCUCUUGGGAUACUAUCUAGGAAUAGAAAUUCUGGGUCAGAGAGUAAAUAUAUGGUGAAAUUUAUAAGAAACUGCCAAAGGUUUUUUGAAGUACUACAUCAUUUUAAACUCCUGUUAGCAAUAUAUCAGUUUCAGCUGUUUCAUGUCCGCACUAACAUUUGGUGUUGCCAUUUUUUCCUUUUUAAAUCAAUUUUGCUGAGAUUUAAAUAAUAAAACAUGCCCGCUUUAAACAUACAGUUCAAUGAACUGACAAUGUACACAAUCUAACCACCAGCACCACCCAAGCAAGAAACAACAUUUCUAUCACCGUUUCUUCACGCCUCUCUGCAAUCAAAGCCUUCCCCAGUCCCAGCCAACCACUAAGCUGCUUUCUAUCACUACUGAUUAUUUUACCCAGUUCUAGAAUUUUAUAUAAGUGGAAUCACACAUCAUAGACUUCUGCGAGUCUGGCUUCUUUUACUCAAUGUUUGAGAUUCAUCCAUGUUGUUCCUUUGAGACAAGAGCCUCGCUACACAGUCCCUGCUGCCUUGCACCAGCCACGUAGCCCAGACUGGCCUGGAACGCACAACCCUCCAACCUUGGACUGGCCUCUAGGAUGCUGGUUAUAGGCAUGCUCCACGGCAUCUGGCUAGUUUACUCACUACUUGAUGGCUGAGUAGACUCUAUUACAUGGAUAAACUCUUAAUUUUUCUGAUCAUUAGUGGUAGACAUUUCGGCUAUUUCAAACCUGGGGAUGUUAGCUAUUUGUUAUGAACAUGAGUAUCUAACAGUGGGCCACACAGUAAAUAUGUUUGACUCCAAGAAACUGCCAGAAUGGCAGCAAUGUAUGAGAGCUCAGCUAUUCCACAUACCCACCAACACUUGAAUUCCAAUUCUUUUUAAUUUUAGCUAUUCCAAUGGGUGUAGCUUACUGUAGUUUUAAUUUGCCUUUUUCUCUAAUUACUGAUGCUGUUGAACAUAUUUCUGUGUGCUUAUUUGCCAUUCAUAUACGUAUCUUCUUUUAUGGAGUUCAACUUCUGCUCACUUAAAAAAUUGGAUUGUUUUCUUAUUAUUGACUCUUAAAGAGUUUAUACUUGGAUAUCUGGAAGCAAACCAAUCUGUGCCUUACUUGACUUUUCAUUUUCUUAAUACUGUUUUACAAAAAGUGGAAGUUUUUAAUUUUGAUAAAGUCUAAUUUGUCCUUUGUUUUUUUUCUGGGUAAUGCUGUGUUCUGUCUCAGAAAUCUGUUUUUACCAAAGCCAGGCAUAUUUCUUUUUCUCAUUAGAAGUUUUAUAGUCAGCUUUGACAUUUAUAUGUGAUUUACUUUGGGUUAACUUUUCUGUGUGAUGUAAUAUAUGGAUGCAAGUGCAUUUUUUUCUAUGCAUAUCCACUUGUUCCAUACCACUUGCUGAAAAUAUAGUUUCCUAAUAUUUCAUAUUUAUAUAUAAAUUUAUAAGUAAUUAUGUAUAUACAGGUCUCCCUGUCUUCCAUUCUUCUAUAUGUUAACCAUUACACUAAUUCUAUACUGUCUUAUUUUUGUGGCUCUUAGUAUUAACAAAAUGGUACUGAAGUCCUCCAGUGUUCUUUUUCAAAAUGACUGUCUACUCUUUGUCCUUUGCAUUUCCACAUACAUUUUAGAAUGUUUGUCUAUUUUUACAAAAAGUCUGCUGGAAUUUCAAUUGGGACUGAACUGACUCUAAUGGAGUAAUUUGUGGCUAAGGCUCAAUUUAGGUCUUCUUUAAAAUAUUAGAAUAAUAAUACUUUUAAUUUCAUUUUCCAAUUGCUUGCUACUAGAAUACAGAAAUAAAAUGUAUUGCAUAGUAAUCUUACAUCCUUUGAAAAUUUCAAUUAGUGCUGUUCUUUUUUAAGAUUCCUUACAAUUUUCUAUGUGCACAAUCACAUCUGCAAAGUAAUUUUUUUCCUUCCUUAUCUCUUUUCUUCCCUUUCCGUUAUGCCUCUAGUAUGAUACUGAAAUGUUGAGAGCAGAUAUCCUUGCCUGUUUCUGAUUUUUGCACAUUUAAUCUUUGUUUGUUUCGUUUCUGAUUUUUGUAGGGAAGUGUUCAAUAUUUUACCAGAAAGUAUCAUAGUUAUAGAU